GUGGGGAAUAUUGGACAAUGGGCGAAAGCCUGAUCCAGCCAUGCCGCGUGUGUGAAGAAGGUCUUCGGAUUGUAAAGCACUUUAAGUUGGGAGGAAGGGUAGUAACCUAAUACGUUGCUACUUUGACGUUACCGACAGAAUAAGCACCGGCUAACUUCGUGCCAGCAGCCGCGGUAAUACGAAGGGUGCAAGCGUUAAUCGGAAUUACUGGGCGUAAAGCGCGCGUAGGUGGUUCAGUAAGUUGGAAGUGAAAUCCCCGGGCUCAAACUGGGGACUGCUUGUAAAACUGCUGAGCUAGAGUACGGUAGAGGGUGGUGGAAUUUCCUGUGUAGCGGUGAAAUACGUAGAUAUAGGAAGGAACACCAGUGGCGAAGGCGACCACCUGGACUGAUACUGACACUGAGGUGCGAAAGCGUGGGGAGCAAACAGGAUUAGAAACCCCAGUAGUCC
rnacentral:rRNA from 1 species